GGGCUCUAACCGGGUUGAGCAGUGCCUGCCUGAUCUCCGCUGGGCGCCCUCGGAGAGGCGUUUGGGAUUCUUCGGAACACAGAGGAGGCUGCGUCGGGCUUUCCCAGAAUCACCUCUUGACCUUGCCCCCAUCCAAAGUCUCUGUACACGGAAGAUUCCAGAAGCUUUACGCCGCAGUCCGGGACUGGUCCUGGGGUCUCAAUCAGAACCAGUCCAGACUAGCGCCUCCGAAAAGCUCUCAUUGCCAAGAAAAACAAAUCACUCCACCGUACCAGUCAGUAAGGGUCUAUUGUAUGAUCCAUGGAAAGGCAUGAACCUCUAUGUGAGAAAACUAUCCAGCCCCGAACGACGAUCACAUCUCACUUAAAAGUUUAAAAAAAACCUUAGAAUUAC